rnacentral:lncRNA from 1 species
GGUGGGUAUCGCGACCAGGAGGGGGAAAGAAAGGGUGAAACCCUACUUGUUCAAUCAAGGUCAAAAUUCAGCAAAUUAAUGGUGGUUCUUGACACAAAUCGAAUGCAUGAGACUGGAUACAACUUAAUCUAAGUAUAUUGAUCAUAAGGUGUUACACGGACUUCUUCUGCUGCUAUGGAAGUGAAGCGGACAAUAGGAAUCACAUUAGCAAGGACUCGAAAACGGAAGGUUAACGGGUCAAGCAGAGGCGAGGAAACAAGCGUGAACACUAACGCUCGAGGUAAGUGACUUUCGAUUCACUUCUUAGUAUACAUAUAGAGUUUUCUUGUUAUGGUUGAAUGGGAUGAUUGAUGUAUAUAAAAUGGCCGACAAGUAGGUAUGUAUGAAUGCAUUUAGGAAAAUUACGUAAGUACAUGCACGUGUGAGCUAAGGUUUGCACGGGUGUAGUUAUGAUUCAUUUUAUGAAUGUAUGUAAGUAUGGAGUUAUGUAUGCAUGUAUGUAUAUAUGUAGGUAUUGGUGUGUGUAUGUACGUAAGUAGUUAUGUAUGAGCAUGAGCAUUAUGUAUUUGAAUAUGAAAGUACAUACGUGUGUAGGUACGAACGUAUAUAUAUAUAUGUGGAUGCAAGUAAGUAUGUAUGUAUGUAUGUGAGUAGGUAUGUGUGUAUGUAGUUAUGUAUGUAUGUAUGUAAAUACAUAUGCGAAGAUGUAAUCAUGUAUGUAUGUAAUUAGAUGCGUGGGUAUGCAAGUAAAGGUAUGUAUGUAUGUAGAUGUGUAUUAUGCGUAUGCGAAGAUACGUAGGUAUAUAUGAAUGUAUGUAGAGAAGUAGUAAUGCAUGCGCGAAUGUAGAUAUGGGGUUGGUAUAGAAGAAGGUACGUAUGAGUAUAUGCAGGUAUGUAGAAAUAUAGGAGGACAUGUACGUAUGUAGACGCAUAUGUAUACAUGUAAACAUGUACAUGUGCAUGAGUUAGAUACGUAGAAUUUUAACGUUACUAAUUAUGCGUUUGAGGUUGGUAUGUGAUGCAGGAACAAGUACACCGGAUUCUUACGAAACUUGAACCGAACCCGGAAUAAGAGGAUGAGAAAGAAUAAUUGGAUGAAUUAAUGUUAAAUUGACGAACGUUAUUCAAUCUUUAAUUACAUGAGAUUAAUGUUAUAUGAUGUUGCCUUUGACUAAUGGUUAAGUUGUAUGUGAUGCCCACAGGUGUUACACGGACUUCUUCUGCUGCUAUGGAAGUGAAGCGGACGUAGAUCGAGUCAAGAGCAAGGAUUGUACGGAUAGAUAGGUCACAUAGUUGAAGUAUAUAACGUUUGGAAAUCUAAAUUUUAGUAUGAAUGUUGUAAAAUUCUUUUAUAGUACGUUUAACAUUUUUAGGAUUUGGAUCCUUCGUGAAAGAAAUGUUGUUA